UGCCCCCUGGCAAUGGUCAAAGAGGCAUCUUGGUGGUGGUGGUCUUCUUAUAUAAGUCAGGGGCAGAGCAGAUGGCAGUCCUUUGUUCAUCCUAGCUUGAUGGUUUUCUUGGUGGCCAAAGCUGUCUUGUGUCUAAGACACACAG